CGGAUUGAAGGCUGAAAUUCGCCUUCAUGAAGCCGGAAUUGCUAGUAAUGGCAGGUCAGCAUACUGCCGUGAAUACGUUCCCGGGCCUUGUACACACCGCCCGUCACACCAUGAGAGUUGGGAAUACCCGAAGCCUGUGAGCUAACGUUAAGAGGCAGCAGUCGAAGGUAGAAUCAAUGAUUGGGGUGAAGUCGUAACAAGGUACC
rnacentral:rRNA from 1 species